CCUACGGGGGGCAGCAGUGGGGAAUAUUGCACAAUGGGGGCAACCCUGAUGCAGCGACGCCGCGUGAGUGAAGAAGUAUUUCGGUAUGUAAAGCUCUAUCAGCAGGAACGAGACAAGACGGUACCUGACUAAUAAGCCCCGGCUAACUACGUGCCAGCAGCCGCGGUAAUACGUAGGGGGCAAGCGUUAUCCGGAAUCACUGGGUGUAAAGGGAGCGUAGACGGCUGAGCAAGCCUGAAGGGAAAGGGGGGGGCCCAACCCCCGGACUGCUUUGGGAACUGUACGGCUGGAGUGCAGGAGAGGUAAGUGGAAGUACUAGUGUAGCGGUGAAAUGCGUAGAUAUUAGGAGGAACACCAGUGGCGAAGGCGGCCUGCUGGACUGUGACUGACGUUGAGGCCCGAAGGCGUGGGGAGCAAACAGGAUUAGAUACCCGUGUAGUC
rnacentral:rRNA from 1 species